rnacentral:tRNA from 1 species
AUUUAUUUAGUAUAAUUUCAGUAUAAUUAACUUCCAAUUAAUAGGACUUUUACAAAAAGAAUAAAUA